CGUGUGGUGUCUGGCGGUAACAAGGCUGGAUAGCGACACGGCCUGAACAGAGGU
rfam:Xenorhabdus vietnamensis strain DSM 22392 Xvie_23, whole genome shotgun sequence.